GUGUCAGCAGCCGCGGUAAUACGGAGGAUGCAAGCGUUAUCCGGAAUUAUUGGGCGUAAAGCGUCCGCAGGUGGUUUUGCAAGUCUGCUGUCAAAGCGUGGAGCUUAACUCCAUAUAGGCAGUGGAAACUGUGAGACUAGAGUGUGGUAGGGGCAGAGGGAAUUCCCAGUGUAGCGGUGAAAUGCGUAGAUAUUGGGAAGAACACCAGUGGCGAAGGCGCUCUGCUGGGCCAUAACUGACACUGAGGGACGAAAGCUAGGGGAGCGAAAGGGAUUAGAAACCCCAGUAGUCC
rnacentral:rRNA from 1 species